CCAGACUCCUACGGGAGGCAGCAGUGGGGAAUAUUGCACAAUGGGGGAAACCCUGAUGCAGCGACGCCGCGUGAGCGAUGAAGUAUUUCGGUAUGUAAAGCUCUAUCAGCAGGGAAGAAAAUGACGGUACCUGACUAAGAAGCCCCGGCUAACUACGUGCCAGCAGCCGCGGUAAUACGUAGGGGGCAAGCGUUAUCCGGAUUCACUGGGUGUAAAGGGAGCGUAGACGGCGACGCAAGUCUGGAGUGAAAGCCCGGGGCCCAACCCCGGGACUGCCCUUGGAACUGCAUGGCUGGAGUGCGGGAGGGGCAGGCGGAAUUCCUGGUGUAGCGGUGAAAUGCGUAGAUAUCAGGAGGAACACCGGCGGCGAAGGCGGCCUGCUGGACCGCGACUGACGUUGAGGCUCGAAAGCGUGGGGAGCGAACAGGAUUAGAUACCCCCGUAGCC
rnacentral:rRNA from 1 species